AGAGCAGCGAUCCAGUCCAAGCCUGGCUCUCCACAAUCCUGAAAGACGGGGCAGUUUCAGCCUUUGACAUGCCAGGAAGUAAUUCCAUAAUGUCACUCAUGCUGAGGGCUCACCGGUCCUCAGACAAGAAGACACAAGUGCAGCGUGUAAGAUUUAAGUUUUCGGACAGACUUUAGUACAAAGAGCAGAAACCAUGGGAGGAGCCAGAAUUACACUGAACACCGACACUAGUAAUUAAAGCCACCGUAAGGGAAGAAAGGCUUCUGCCAGGAAACUGCAAGCACAACCCGAAGCCAUUCCUUCCCCCAUUUUUCAGGCAGGGGGUCCUUGC
rnacentral:lncRNA from 1 species